rnacentral:lncRNA from 1 species
UGGGACACGAGUAAAUUUAUCCACCCUGGUGGAAAGGCCUCUCUCCCUCUACACUCUCUCCGAAGAAGCCUGACACGUUUCACAAGGAGGAUAAUUUCCUUCCCCACCUUUCUCUUUCUUUUCUUUUUAAUUCGGUUUUAUUUUCAUUUCCCCACCGCCACCACACAAAGCUCACAGCUCUCCUCGGGCAUCCUCCUGCUCCCUCUAUCUCUUUCCGUAAGCCUAUGCCAAGACGAUCACUUCACAGGGACGGUUCUGAUGGCUCUUGAGCUCGGGAAGUGGCCGAAGGGGACAUUUCUGUUCUCCUGGAGGCUGCGGCGAGCUCAGCCCCGCCUGUGUCCCUAUACCGUGUCCGUAUUGCUGUGUCCUGCGCCCAGAGCCGGAGAUGAGAUAAUCAUCAGCGGGAGAGACCUCUCCUUUGGCCACAGUGAAAAUGCGUCCCCCCCCCUCCCACCCAAAUGCCUUCUGUAGAUGUCGCCGAGGUGGGGUAGCUGAGGCUCUCUCGGCGGCCUUAGGACUGGAGGCUCUGCGGCGAAGGGGCCGGGACCAGCCCAGCAGCAGUGUGCAGCCUCAGGGAGCCGAGGGAUCCGGGGUCCGAGCGGCGCCCCGCACUCCCGAGCUCUCCUCUUAGCCGUCACAAAUAGCCCGUGUGCGGCUCCGCGCUGCUCUGAGCCGAAAUCCCCGCAGAGUGAGCGAGCGGAGCCAGAGAGGAAAAUGGAACAGUCGGAGGAGCAGCGCUGCGAUGCUCCCUUCGCUCAGGGAGGUGGGCAGCCGCCCUCAGGCUCUGCCCGGAGGUGGGCUCGCCCCAUGCCCCGGACAGGUGUCAUGCACGCGGUGGGGAGGAAAUGAAAGCGCAGUUUGAGUUCGCCUUCCCCUCCUAGAAGCUCCCGGGGGCUCCCGAGAGGAACUCCAACCAACCUCCAAAGAUUGCUCCCACAACCCAUUUCCCGGGCUACCCAGCUGCAGAAGCAAUAGAAUGGACGGAAAAGAUCACCUGCUUGGCUUUACUACUGGCUAUGGAGAAAAGCGAUUCCUCUCCCUAGUGCCCCAAGCACUCCUCCGUGCUGCUGAGGUCACAUGGCAUUGCAUCCUGCUCAGCCACAGCUUCCAGUGAUGGGCUCAUGUGCAGGUGGACCUCAUCCAACACAUUUCAACAGCUGGAAAUCAUCUCGGUGAAAGAUGGAGCUGUGACAUGUUUGGCUGCACCUUGCUUGGGAAAGAAAGGACAAGACAAGAU